UACGAAGGGGGCUAGCGUUGCUCGGAAUCACUGGGCGUAAAGCGCACGUAGGCGGACUCUUAAGUCGGUGGUGAAAUCCUGGAGCUCAACUCCAGAACUGCCUUCGAUACUGAGAGUCUCGAGUCCGGGAGAGGUGAGUGGAACUGCGAGUGUAGAGGUGAAAUUCGUAGAUAUUCGCAAGAACACCAGUGGCGAAGGCGGCUCACUGGCCCGGUACUGACGCUGAUGCGCGAAAGCGUGGGGAGCAAACGGG
rnacentral:rRNA from 1 species